CCUUCCUCCCGCCUCCUUGCCCUUCUAGCCCGCCAGGGCUGAACUCGAUGGUUUUCCCGCGCCGCGCCGGCCGCUCUAGCCGCCCUCGCGUUCACCGCUUGGUUUCCGGCUCCGUGCGCUCGCGUUCCCCGAGGCGCUCUCUGCACGUGGAGAGGCGCGGGCAUCCCGCCGCCUCACCCCGCACCACGCAGAUGUUCGAGGAGCCGGAGUGGGCCGAGGAGGCCUCAUUGGCCGCGGGCCUCCGGCCUGUAGCCUCGCGGCCUCGGCCGGCGGCAGCCUGUCCAAUCAAGGGCUCCAAGCGCCGACAGCUCUUGGCCACACUACGUGCCCUGGAGGCAGCAUCUCUUUCCCAACAACUCCCCAGCCUACCUGGCAGUGACUCUGAGGAGGAGGAAGUGGUGGAAAGGAAAAAGAAACGCCCCAAAAAGGCCUCAUUGGCCAGUGUUUCUACUGAAGUAGAGGAGAAAAGGAAGAAGCAGCAUCAAAAACAAGGCCUACCUGGCAGUGAUUCUGAGGAAAAGGAAGUAAAAAAGAAGAAGUGCCGCAAAAGGGCUCUUGAAAGUGAUUCUGCUGCAGAAGAAAAAAGAAAGGGGAAAUGCCAGAAACAGGCGCCUUCAAACCCUGCCCUGGACAGUGUUGACCAAACAGGUCCCAAAGCUUGGAAGAGUAGUGCUACAGAUGACUCAUCCAAGCCAAGCUCUGUGGCCACUUCCCCCCAAACUCCCCAUGCCUUGAGUCGCAAGCAGUGGCGGAACCGGCAGAAGAACAAGCGUAGACACAAGAACAAGUUUCGGCCACCUCAGCCGCCAGACCCAGCCAAAGUCACAGCCCCCACAGAGGAGACAGAGGUGCCUCCUGCCCCCACUCAAGAUGACCACGAGGCUCGGGCAGGAGCUCUGCGAGCCCGCAUGGCACAGCGGCUAGAUGGUGCUCGAUUUCGCUACCUCAAUGAACAGCUGUACUCAGGGCCCAGCAGUGCUGCACAACGCCUCUUCCAGGAAGACCCUGAGGCCUUCCUCCUCUACCACCGCGGCUUCCAGAGCCAAGUCAAGAAGUGGCCGCUACAGCCAGUGGACCGCAUCGCCAGGGAUCUUCGCCAGCGGCCUGCGUCCCUGGUGGUAGCUGACUUUGGCUGUGGGGACUGCCGCCUGGCUUCAAGUAUCCGGAACCCGGUGCACUGCUUUGACUUGGCCUCUCUGGACCCCAGGGUCACUGUAUGUGACAUGGCCCAGGUGCCUCUGGAGGAUGAGUCUGUAGAUGUGGCUGUGUUCUGCCUUUCGCUGAUGGGAACCAACAUCAGGGACUUCCUAGAGGAGGCAAACCGAGUGCUGAAGCCCGGGGGUCUCCUGAAAGUGGCUGAAGUUAGCAGCCGCUUUGAAGAUGUUCGGGCCUUUUUGGGAGCCGUGACCAAACUGGGCUUCAAGAUCAUCUCCAAGGACCUGACCAACAGCCACUUCUUCUUGUUUGAUUUUGAAAAGACUGGGCCCCCUCGAGUGGGGCCCAAGGCUCAACUCUCAGGCCUGAAGCUUCAGCCAUGUCUCUACAAGCGCAGGUGACCUCUGGACCCCCCUUGAAGGGGGAGGCAAGUCUUGAACUCCAUUGUCAGAACUCCAAAGACUAUAACCAGCCAGGCUGUGACCCAGGACCGGUACCACCCUUCCGCUAUCCCACGAACGAAGUGUGAUGAAACCCCUGGUUCAGUCCCGCUCUGCUAAAGGAUUCUUGGUUGCAAGAAGCAUAAAAUCACUUGGGCUGGCUAAAGAAUAAGGAGUUUAUGAUCUUCACACCAACAUCACCUUCUGUGGAAGAAACUGGCUAGGUGCUCACCAGAAUGUCCUUUCCCUGGACAGUUAAACUCCAUUUCCCUGCUCAUCGCAUCAAGGUGGGGCAGUGUGAGUGGUCCUCGUCAACGGAAGGGAAGUAGGAGAGAUGUUUCACUACCAGACUGUGAGAGGCCCCCUGCCAGGGAAGGCGUCAUGGCUUUCUUUAAGUCAUGUUGACUGAACCCAAGGCUUGGGCAUAGCCCUACCUUGGGGGUAUUUCUGGCCAAAAGGUGAGAAUGCCUUCAGCUCAACUCUUCAAAGCCCAGGGCCUCCCACACCAGACCAAGGCAGUUAAAGAGCAGAUGAACCUUCUCUUUAUUGUACUACCCCCUCCUCCACCUUACAGGGUGACCUUGUAGCACAUGUUUGAAGGUGAUUGAGUAACAGCAUAGAAGAGGUUGAGAUAUCUGAGUCACUCUUUGGGAGGAAAGCUGCUUGACUAAAAACAUCCACAUUGAACUUUGAACAAAGAGUAAACCUCUACUGCAAUAAAUUAGUGAAUUUUGGGAGAUUCAGGGCAGUUAGCAUUAUAUAUCCUGGCUAAUAGAUCUUCUCUGGUCAUUCUAUCCACGUUACUCUUGAUCACAAAACACUUUUGUUUCCUUUGGGUGCUUCAAACAUGUAAUUACCUUAGCAAAUACGGGUCAGCACUUUCCACCUGUGCCAUUAAUUUUAAUCUUAAUGGUGUGGUGGGGGGAGUGUUCACAUCAGGAAGUUGAGAUGCUUAUUUUACCAGUUACAUUUUGGUUGUGACAAGAAAAAAAAUGCCACUAAAUAAUGUCUUAUACUAGAAUUUCCUUCCUAUAUCAGUAGAAACCUGAAGGUUAGUGUCUGUGGGCAUUGGUUCUGGAACUUCAGGAUGUUAGCGUUUAGGUCUCUAUCAUUCUCUAGGUCUUUUGCUUCUCAUAUUCACAAGAUGGUAUGUUCUUGAUUAAGUGGGGACACCCAGCUUACUAUUUACUAAUACACCUCUUGGGAAUCUCA